GGGUCGUUAGCUCAGUUGGUAGAGCAGUUGACUUUUAAUCAAUUGGUCGCAGGUUCGAAUCCUGGACGACCCACCA
rnacentral:tRNA from 1 species